AUGCGAUAAGUAGUGUGAAUUGCAGAAUUCAGUGAAUCAUCGAAUCUUUGAACGCACAUUGCGGCCAUAGGUAUUCCUUUGGCCAUGCCUGUUCGAGCGUCAUUUACACCCUCAAGCCUAGCUUGGUGUUGGGCGUCUGUCCCGCUUCGCGCGCGGACUCGCCUCAAAGUCAUUGGCGGCGGUCGUGCCGGCCCCUGAGCGCAGCACAUUUGCGCUUCUCGGAGGCCCGGCGGACCCGCGCUCCAGCAAGACCUUUCUACGACUUGACCUCGGAUCAGGUAGGGAUACCCGCUGAACUUAA
rnacentral:misc_RNA from 1 species